rnacentral:rRNA from 1 species
GCACAAGCAGUGGAGUAUGUGGUUUAAUUCGAGGCAACGCGAAGAACCUUACCAGGGUUUGACAUCCCGCGCUAGAGGUAGAGAUACCUUGUUCCUUUCGGGGACGCGGAGACAGGUGGUGCAUGGUUGUCGUCAGCUCGUGUCGUGAGAUGUUCGGUUAAGUCCGGCAACGAGCGCAACCCUCGUGGCCAGUUGCCAUCAUUCAGUUGGGCA